GAUGAAGAACGUAGCGAAAUGCGAUAACUAAUGUGAAUUGCAGAAUUCAGUGAAUCAUCGAGUCUUUGAACGCACAUUGCGCCCCCUGGUAUUCCGGGGGGCAUGCCUGUCCGAGCGUCAUUGCUGCCCUCAAGCACGGCUUGUGUGUUGGGCUCCGUCCCCCCGGGGACGGGCCCGAAAGGCAGCGGCGGCACCGAGUCCGGUCCUCGAGCGUAUGGGGCUUUGUCACCCGCUCUGUAGGCCCGGCCGGCGCCAGCCGACAACCCAUCAUCCUUUUCAGGUUGACCUCGGAUCAGGAAGGGAUACCCGCUGAACUUAAGCAUAUCAAUAAGCGGAGGA
rnacentral:misc_RNA from 1 species